ensembl:lncRNA
GUUCAUUCUCCUAAAGUAAACAUUAAAGCCUAACACUGUGUUGCUGCUUCAACAUUUCAUCCCCGGCUCUUUUGUUGCACCUUGGCAGCUUUGACAGAGCCAUGUCCCCCGGCUGUCCUGUGAAUUGAAGCGAUGGAGAGCUCGUCCUCCACAGUGAGGCGGCGAGCAUGGAUCAACAGCAGCCGUCAGCGGGUCACUUUGGAAGACCCGGAAGGGCCUCUGUGCCCGUUCCCAUCUGCCUCCAUAGCGGACGAUGAUGUGUUCUCUGAUGGAUGCCUUGCAGGAAAGAUUGAGAACUGGCUUCUCAGCUGUGGGUCAGAUGCCUGCUCAGAGAACAGCGGUCAGCUGAGUUUUGAGUCUGUGCUCCAAGCCGGUAACUUUGCUGAUGACCUGGGUCUUGGAGCAGAUGCUUCUGUGGUAGAAGAUGGAGAUGUUAAACCUGAGCCUGGCUUGGUGCGACAGCCGUCCUUCAGACAAAAGAGCAGGCUCACCAG